rnacentral:lncRNA from 1 species
UUUUUUCUUAUUCUAGCAGACGGAAUUGAAUUGGUCUAAUUUAGGACUUUCUAAUCGAUUUUUAUCUUACCUAAUUCUAUCUACGCCCAGGGGGUAGGUACGUCGCAAGCUCUGGGCAGCUAUCUUAUUCAAAAGAAUAUCGCUCCCUAAAAGGUUGCCGAUACCAUACCUCUAUUGAACCCUACUGGAUCCAAUUGUUUAAGUGUUUAGUCGAGAGGAACCACAUUGACACCAUGCUUGUGCUAAGCCACAGCUCCAUCAAACUAAUCUGGAUUUCUUCUUGUUUACGAAUAAUGGGGCAUCUGCCUAACCCUAUCAAACCUCUCUGCAACUACUUCUCUCUGUUCUCAGCAGCCCGAAGGAUUUUUCUAGUCUCAAAGUCCUAUUAGAACUCCCGCGCUUGCUCCUUUGGAGCCAAAUGGAUCCGAAUUUCGGUGGCUGGGGUAGACUCUCAGCAGCUUGGUUUACGCAUGGCACGAAAAUCUAUCUGUAAUAAUUAUUUGAAAAAAGUCAAAAAUAGCCUAUUGGGGUUCAGUUGGCGAGAAAAGCCUUCUUCCUACAUCUGCGAGUAAGGGGCAACCUUUUUGAUUAAUUCACAGGUAAGGCAAAGUGCUUUCUUUUAAAGAAGCAUCUGGUUCCAUCUUUCUUUCGUUAGUUAAGCCACCUUUUUCUAAGAAGGAUUUUUGUAAUUCUGGAUUAAUAGUACUUAGAAUGGCUUUUUCAUAUUGAGAAAUUCUGUCUAGUGGCAUUCGACGUCUGGCUUGAUAGUAAAGCCAAAGAAAGACGCCCCAAGACAAGAUACAACUGUUGGGAAGGGGACAUGAUCAAUAGAACCUGGCUGGAUCCGGGCUGGGAUAGUGGCCGAACGACCUUCAACCACUCCUGCCUGCCUGCCGGAACUAUUAAGCUGAUAGGAAUGAGAAACAAGCUGAGCUGAAACAUUACGGGCAGCUACAUCUAGGCUUAUAGUAAGCGAUUCAAACUCUCUCUUUAGUGGACACACACGACAUGAUAAAUGUGAUGGAAGGCUGGAGACAUCGCUCCAUCGGGCAUUAGACAGAAGCCAGUGGUAUCCAGAGUGUGCUACCCCGGCUGGACCAAAAAGGGAUUAAUACUACUUCAAAGUCGAAAAUCCGGUAACCGUGACCGCUACGGUGAGCAAAUGCAUCAUCAGUGCUGUAUUUAAAUUGUGUGCUAUCCUUGAAAAGGGCUUCACAUUUGGAUGGAAUUGCAACAUGCAGGCGGCUGCUCUUGCUUAAAUCAUUACUCUUCAUUCUCCCGUGCUCUAGCAAUUGCGCUCCCUAGACCACUACCAUUUAGUUAGGUAGGGACAAUCAAUCCAUAGUUACGGGAAUAACGGAAUACAUGGGGAUAAAAAAAAAAGAAAAUGCAGAUUUUCUAUGAAAUCCUUUCUUUCCAUAGAUGUAUCUGGUCUGAGACGGUACAGUACUCUACGAGAGGAAUGCAAUGGGAUGGAUGGUAGAGGGCUGCCUGCGCCCAAAAGCGAUGAUUCACUUGUCCCCUUGUCUAUAGGGACCUUGUGGCAUACAACCGCCACGACUCCUGCGUUAUAGCCGCCCCUUUCUCUCUUUAUUUUGACUGCCUCGUGGACGGACGAAAGAAGGGAAGUUACAGAAGGGGGCAGUGAGGGCUCCAUCCAUAACAGAUAUAGCUAGCGCACAGGAUCUCCCUUCUGCGAACAAAAGGACAAAAGAGCCGGGUCGGGCGUUGAUUCGCCGUUGCUAUCAGUCGGUCUACUCGUGCCUGCUGCUUACUUUCUCGAUCGAUGGAAUCGGUGAUUCAAAAACCUAAAGAUCCUUUCUUCAAACUCAACCGAAUCAAGUUUCAAAAAUAGAUGUGGAAGAGGCAAAGGGAAGAGCGGGGUUGCCGAAUUGUUUCUCAGAGCCGGACGAAACAUCUAUCUCUAUUUACAAUACGAACACGGAGUUUCCGAAGCUACAAGAGUGCUUGGUUAAACGGUGCCAUUAAGUUUCAACUGUCUUUAAACUUACUACUUCAAGUGCAAUUAUCAACUCCUUGCAAAAUUGUUGGCUUUCUCAUCUACAAAAGGCAACUCUGGUAUUCAAGGAAACAGAUAAUUAGGUUCCACUCACUACGUCAACUAAAGCAACUGCAUCUGGAGCACUUACCAGGGAAACCAAGCAUUUCUCCCAUUGCAAGAAUCAUAGAUCUAGUUGGCCAAACAAAACCCAAGACUCGGAGAGACUUACAAGGAUAUCAAAUCAUGCAUAAAAGAAAUCAGCAAGGACUCAAAUAUAUAUCAUAGAUAAUCUGAUCACAAGUCCACAAUUCAUCGGAUCUCGACAAACACACCGCCAAAGAAGCUUACAUCGGAUAGAUCUCCAUGAAGAUCAUGGAGAACUUUGUAUUGAAUAUCCAAGAGAGAGAAGAAGCCAUCUAGCUACUAACUACGGACCCGUAGGUCUGAAGUGAACUACUCACGAGUCAUUGGAGGGGCGAUGAUGAUGAUGAAGAAGCCCUUCACCUCCAAAGUCCCCUCCGACAGGGUGCCGGAAAGGGUCUCCAGAUGAGAUCUCGCGGAAACGGAAGCUUGCGGUGGCGGAAAAGUAUUUUCGAGGCUCCCCUGAUUUUUUGCGGAAUAUUUGGGAAUAUAUAGGCGCAAGACCUAGGUCAGGGGGCGGCCAAGGAGGCCACAAGCCUGCCCACCGCCACCUCCCCCCUGGUGGCGGAGUGGGGGCUUGGGGGCUCUAUGGAGCCCACCUGGUUUGGCCCAAAAGCCCCUUGGACUUCUUCCGUUCGGGAAAAUAUCAUUUUGGGGUUUUUCUUCCGUUUGGACUCCGUUCCAAAAUCAGAUCUGAAAAGAGUCAAAAACAUGGAAAAAUAGGAACUGGCACUUGGCACUUAAUCAAUAAGUUAGUCCUAAAAAAGAUAUAAAAAGGUACAUAAAACAUACAAAGAAGACAAGAUAACAGCGUGAAACCAUCAAAAAUUAUAGGUACGUUUGAGACGUAUCAAGCAUCCCCAAGCUUAACUCCUGCUCGUCCUCGAGUAGGGAAGUGAUAAGAAUGAAUUUUUGAUGCUUUCAUGCUACCUAGCAUAGGUGUCCUUUGUAAUUUCUCUUAUGUGACGUGAAUGUUCAGAUCCAUUAGAUUCAAAACAAUAGUUUUCUAUUGACGUGGAAACAACAAUAAUUCAAGCAAACUAGCAAUGUAAUCCUGAACUUUCAAAAUAACAAGGCCAAAAGAAAGUUAUCCCUACAAAAUCAUAUAGUCUGGCCAUGCUCUAUCAUCAUUGCACAACGGAUUUAAAUCAUGCAGAACCCCGGUGUUGGCCAAGUAAUUGUUUCACACCUUUACUUUCUCAAACAUUUUCAACUCUCACGCAAUACAUGAGCGCGGGCCAUGGUUAUAGAACUAUAGAUGGUGUGGAAUGUGGUGGGGGUUGCAAGACAAAAAGGAGAAGAUAGUCACAUUAACUAGGCAUAUCAAUGAGCUGUGGAGAUGCUCAUCAAUAUAUAUCAAUGUGAAUGAGUAGGGAUUGCCAUACAAAUGAUGCACUAGAGCUACAAGUAUGUGAAAGCUCUUAAAGAAAAGUAGUGGGUGUGCAUCCAACUUGCUUGCUCACGAAAACCUAAGGCAAUUUUGAGGAAGCCUAUCAUUGCAAUAUACAAGCCAAGUUAUAUAAUGAGAAUUUCCCACUAGCUAUAUGGUGGUGACAAAACGAGAGACUCUCAAUCAUGAAGAUCGUGGUGCUCAAGAUGCACAAGUGUGGAAAAAGUGGUAGCAUUGUCCCUUCUCUCUUUUUCUCUCAUUUUUUUAUUUUGGUGGGCUCUUUGGCCUCUUUUUUAUGGGCUUCUUUGGCCUCUUUUUUUCCUCACAUGGGAAAAUGCUCCAAUAAUGAUGAUCAUCACACUUUCAACUCAAAACUUAGAUCAAUUAUGACUCUAUAUGGAAUGCCUUCGGUAGUGUACCAUGGCAAUGAUCUAGCAUGGCAUAGACAUCAAUGGAAAUAUCAUGCUAGCUAUCUUACGAUCGUGCAAAGGUAAUGUAGACGUGGUGGCACAUAUUAUGGUGGUAGUUGCAUGGCAAAAUAUCUCGGAAUGACUUUGAAAAAGCCAUAGUAGGUAGGUAUGGUGGCUGUUUUGAGGGAGGCUAAUGGUGGGUUUUGUGCACCGGCACAAGUUGCGCGGCACUAAGAAGAUAGUGAUGAUGGAGGUGAAAGUGCAUCUAAACCAUGGACUCAACAUUAGUCACAAAGAACUCAUAUACUUGUUGCAAAAGUUUUAUUAGUAAUCGAAACAAAGCAUUCAACGCAUACUCCUAGGGGAAGGGUUGGUAGGUAUAAACCAUCGCGCGAUCCCGACCGCCACGCAAAGGAUGGCAAUCAAUAUACUAAUCAUGCUCAGAUUUCAUCAAAUAGCGGUUUACCAUACGUGCAUGCUACGGGAAUCACUAACUUCAACAAAAGUAUUUCUAGAUCCACAACAGCUUACUAGCAUAACUUUAAUAUUACCAUAACCAAAACUCAAAACAUAUUGAGAUGAAUCAAACUUCUCUAACUAUUCAAUGCACAUGAAGGUGGAAGUUUUCGUAUCCCUUUGGAUAACUACCCCUUUUGAGACUACUUUCAAAGCAUAGAUCAACUACCAAGCCAUGCACCGCUGCACUCUAAAAGAUAUAAGUGAAGCACAUAGAGCAAAAGUAUCUAGCUCAAAAGAUAUAAGUGAAGCACAUGUGAGCUGAAUUGUCUACCAAAAGAUAUAAGUGAAGCUCGACAAAAUCACGGUGAGUGCAUGUCUCUCUCUCUAGGUGUGCAGCAAGGAUGAUUGUGACACAAAAAAAAAUAAAAUACUCCUACGAUAUAGGAUGCUCCAAGCAAAAACGCAUAACAUGUGGUGAAUAAAAAUAUAGCCCCAAGUAACGUUACCGAUGGAUUGAAGACGAGAGAGGGGAUGCCUUCCCGGGGCAUCCCCAAGCUUAGGAUUUUACGGCAUCCUUGAAUCUCUUGGGGUGCCUUGGGCAUCCCCAAGCUUGAGCUCUUGCCACUCUUUAUCUUUUUGUCCACAAGAACUUCACCCAAAACUUGAAAACGUCACAACACGAAACUUAAACAGAAACUCGUGACAACAUUAGUACAAGAAAGAAAACCACCACUUCCUUAGGUACUAUAGGAAACUCAAAUUCUACUUGUGCUGAUGUUGGGUUACUGUACUUUCAAUCUUCCAUGGCUAAUACCCCUGAUACUAUCCAUAGUUUCAUCAAAAUAAGCAACCAACACAACAAAAACAGAAUCUGUUAAUAGCAGACCAGUCUGUAGCAAUCUGUAUGUUUCGCAUAACUCUGGUACUUCAAAAAUUCUGAAAAAUUAUGACAGUCUGAAGAAUUUGUGUAGCAAUCUGCAGCAAAAAGAAUCAACUCAAAAUCUCUUAUAGAAAAAAAUAAAAAUUCUUUUCCGGAGCAGAAAGUUUCUGUCUUUCCCAGCAUGACCAAACGAUCAUCCUCAAGACUAAUCAUAACNNNNNNNNNNNNNNNNNNNNNNNNNNNNNNNNNNNNNNNNNNNNNNNNNNNNNNNNNNNNNNNNNNNNNNNNNNNNNNNNNNNNNNNNNNNNNNNNNNNNNNNNNNNNNNNNNNNNNNNNNNNNNNNNNNNNNNNNNNNNNNNNNNNNNNNNNNNNNNNNNNNNNNNNNNNNNNNNNNNNNNNNNNNNNNNNNNNNNNNNNAAAAGGCAACUCUGGUAUUCAAGGAAACAGAUAAUUAGGUUCCACUCACUACGUCAACUAAAGCAACUGCAUCUGGAGCACUUACCAG